rnacentral:rRNA from 1 species
AGGCAGCAGUGGGGAAUAUUGCACAAUGGGGGAAACCCUGAUGCAGCAACGCCGCGUGAGUGAUGAAGGUUUUCGGAUCGUAAUGCUCUGUCUUUGGGGAAGAUAAUGACGGUACCCAAGGAGGAAGCCACGGCUAACUACGUGCCAGCAGCCGCGGUAAU